ACGCUCGACACCUACAGGAGGCAGCAGUGGGGAAUAUUGCACAAUGGGGGAAAUCCUGAUGCAGCGACGCCGCGUGAGCGAAGAAGUAUUUCGGUAUGUAAAGCUCUAUCAGCAGGGAAGAAACUGACGGUACCUGACUAAGAAGCACCGGCUAAAUACGUGCAAGCAGCCGCGGUAAUCUGAGCGGGCUGGCAAGGC
rnacentral:rRNA from 1 species